UGUGCAAAUGAAUAGAGCUCCAGCAGUA
rnacentral:piRNA from 1 species